GAUGAACGCUAGCUACAGGCUUAGCACAUGCAAGUCGAGGGGCAGCAUGGUCUUAGCUUGCUCAGGCCGAUGGCGACCGGCGCACGGGUGAGUAACACGUAUCCAACCUGCCGUCUACUCUUGGACAGCCUUCUGAAAGGAAGAUUACUACAAGAUGGCAUCAUGAGUCCGCAUGUUCACAUGAUUCAAUGUAUUCCGGUCGACGAUGGGGAUGCGUUCCAUUAGAUAGUAGGCGGGGUAACGGCCCACCUAGUCUUCGAUGGUUAGGGGUUCUGAGAGGAAGGUCCCCCACAUUGGAACUGGGACACGGUCCAAACGCCUACGGGAGGCAGCAGUGAGGAAUAUUGGGAAAUGGGCGAGAGCCUGAACCAGCCAAGUAGCGUGAAGGAGGACUGCCCUAUGGGUUGUAAACUUCUGUUAUAAAGGAAUAAAGUCGGGUAUGGAUACCAGUUUGCAUGUACUUUAUGAAUAAGGAUCGGCUAACUCCGUG
rnacentral:rRNA from 1 species